UUUGUUUUACAAAAUGGUUUUAUUUUCAGCUACAUAAACAUUUUUCUCAGGAAAGUUACCAAAACAACUUGUUCACAGGCUUUCUGGGGUGGGGGGGGGGAGCUGGAGCUCCUUUUGUAGACCAGACUACCCCCUGGAAUGUUGGGCUUAAAGGUGUGCAUCACCACACC